rnacentral:rRNA from 1 species
CCUACGGGAUGCAGCAGUGGGGAAUAUUGCACAAUGGGCGCAAGCCUGAUGCAGCCAUGCCGCGUGUGUGAAGGAGGCCUUCGGGUUGUAAAGCACUUUCAGCGGGGGAGGAAGGCGUUAAGGUUAAUAACCUUAGCGAUUGACGUUACCCGCAGAAGAAGCACCGGCUAACUCCGUGCCAGCAGCCGCGGUAAUACGGAGGGUGCAAGCGUUAAUCGGAAUUACUGGGCGUAAAGCGCACGCAGGCGGUCUGUCAAGUCGGAUGUGAAAUCCCCGGGCUCUACCUGGGAACUGCAUUCGAAACUGGCAGGCUAGAGUCUUGUAGAGGGGGGUAGAAUUCCAGGUGUAGCGGUGAAAUGCGUAGAGAUCUGGAGGAAUACCGGUGGCGAAGGCGGCCCCCUGGACAAAGACUGACGCUCAGGUGCGAAAGCGUGGGGAGCAAACAGGAUUAGAUACCCUCGUAGUC